rnacentral:lncRNA from 1 species
GUGGCACACCGGCGAGUCCAUGAAUGAUUUACCCGUCUCCAAUUCACGAUCGAUAUGGAUGCUCUCAUCCCGCUUUUCCCGACUGUACCACUAAUGAUAUUGUUCCUCAAUUGGUUUAGUUAGCACAAUCAAAGCAGUACUGAUAGCGAUUCGAGAGUUGAUCGCCAUGAUGGCACUCAUUGUAGUGGGUGACAUCUUUUCCUUUUUCCUUUGAUCGCCUUUCUAUCCCAACAAAACUUGUGGUUUGUGCAAUGCUUUUUCUCCCCCUCUAGAUUAUAUGCUAGACACGGAUUGAUCUGUUGCCACUUAGCAAACAAAACCAGCUAGUGCUUUGAAUUAAGUAGUAUACCCAUCACUCGAUGGCCCAUCGAUUCGAGACCUGA